UACGGGAGGCAGCAGUGGGGAAUAUUGCACAAUGGGCGCAAGCCUUAUGCAGCCAUGCCGCGUGUAUGAAGAAGGCCUUCGGGUUGUAAAGUACUUUCAGUCGUGAGGAAGGUGUUAAGGUUAAUAACCUUAGCAAUUGACGUUAGCGACAGAAGAAGCACCGGCUAACUCCGUGCCAGCAGCCGCGGUAAUACGGAGGGUGCGAGCGUUAAUCGGAAUUACUGGGCGUAAAGGGCACGCAGGCGGUUAAUUAAGUUGGAUGUGAAAUCCCCGGGCUUAACCUGGGAAUGGCAUUCAAGACUGGUUAGCUAGAGUCUUGUAGAGGGGGUAGAAUUCCAUGUGUAGCGGUGAAAUGCGUAGAGAUGUGGAGGAAUACCGGUGGCGAAGGCGGCCCCGUGGACAAAGACUGACGCUCAUGUGCGAAAGCGUGGGGAGCAAACGAGGGAUUAGAUACC
rnacentral:rRNA from 1 species